rnacentral:misc_RNA from 1 species
AGCAGCCGCGGUAAUUCCAGCUCCAAUAGCGUAUAUUAAAGUUGUUGCAGUUAAAAAGCUCGUAGUUGAAUUUCGGGAUUGACGUGAUGGUCGUGCCUUACGGGGUAUGAACUGUUGCUGUUGAUUUCUCACCUUCUGGAGAAACUUGAUGUCCUUAAUUGGGUGUCUUGCGGAUCCAGGACCUUUACCUUGAAAAAAUUAGAGUGUUUAAAGCAGGCAUUUUGCUCGAAUACAUUAGCAUGGAAUAAUAGAAUAGGACGGCAUGGUUCUAUUUUGUUGGUUUCUAGGAUCACCGUAAUGAUUAAUAGGGAUAGUUGGGGGCAUUAGUAUUCAAUUGUCAGAGGUGAAAUUCUUGGAUUUAUUGAAGACUAACUACUGCGAAAGCAUUUGCCAAGGAUGUUUUCAUUAAUCAAGAACGAAAGUUAGGGGAUCGAAGACGAUCAGAUACCGUCGUAGUCUUAACCAUAAACUAUGCCGACUAGGGAUCGGAUGAUGUUAAUUUUUUAAUGACUCAUUCGGC